CAUUCUAGAAGGAUCGCAUCUGGAGUGAUCGGAUUCACGUUCGUCGGAGCUCGCCGGAUUCUGGAAAUUUUCCACCACCACCGAAGCUUUUGAUAGAAGGAAUCGAAGCCUGAAAUUGAAGUUUUGACGUCGAAAUCAAGCCUUGCCGGAUUCUGCAAAAUUCUGGAAUUUUUCCGACCACCGAAGCUUUCGAUCGGUAUAUCUCGAGCUACAGACCAUAUUUUUCUGUGAUUCUUGAACCAGUGAGUUCUUCUUGAGUUUCUUAACAACUCUUCAGAAGGAAUCGAAGCCUUAAAUUGACGUUUUUACGUCGAAUUGGAGCUCGCCGUUUUCUGCAGUUUCUCGCCGGUUUCUGGAAAAUUCCGGCCACCUUCAUACUGUUCAAGGUGAUCGACGGUUUGAUUUGGCGGACGAUUCGUGAAAUUGUAUUUUGAGCUGUUAAGAAGACGCAGCGGGAAUUUAGAGCGGGUAAUCCUACAGGUCAGGUGAACCAGGACGGUGAUCGGGCUGCUUAGAGUAGUGUUAUGUGAAUUACAGCAUUAUAUUGUGAGGUUUGUUAUGCUCAUUUAGAGCUUUACGAUUUUACUUUGUAAGAGUGAAUUGUAAUAAUUAACUCGAGGUUUUCGAGUUUUGUGUUGA